UGACCUGACCUGACCUGACCUGACCUGACCUGACCUGACCUGACCUGACCUGACCUGACCUGACCUGACCUGACCUGACCUGACCUGACCUGACCUGACCUGACCUGACCUGACCUGACCUGACCUGACCUGACCUGACCUGACUAAAGCCUGAAGAAUACACAAUGGCAAAAUACAGAGAAGUUCAAUUUUCGGUCUGUGACACCGUGCGCGAGUGUACGUGUUAUGAUUUUGCACGCGAGUACAGAAGGGUUAAAAAAAUCUUCUUUUACUUAAUACAAACUUUUAACAUAUUUUUCGUGUUGCACAACCAAAACACGAACAGUUUUCAAGGUGGAAUUAAACAUCACAACUGAUUUCAUUGGACGUUAUGGGUACAAAAAUAAUUAACCUGUUUACGGUAAAUAAAUAUUAUAAAUCAGCCAUUCCAUGCAUAACCGAUAUAGUAGUUCUCAGAUAAAAAGUGCUAAUUUUGUUCUUCAUCACAAAACAUUAGACCCGUAUUUUUAUUUUUUUCGUUAGGGUGAACUUUUCCAUUUUAUGGUGUUUCAAAAAAUCAAUUAUUUCAACUUUUUUUUUCAAAAAUGCCUUUUUUUUAAUUCAUCACUUUUGAACCACGUUUUAGAUAGUCAACAUACCAAAUUAAAACCAAUGAGCUAGCCUCAUGAAGCAGCAAAAAAGUGGAUUUUGUUUCGUAAUUAUUGAUUGUAGUCGUCUUUUGUUGUUUUUAUGGCUUUGAAAAUAUAGUAUCUCUGAUAUCGAUUAUGUUAUGUAAAAAUCUUCAGCUUUCAAGGAAAAAUAUUUUUUAAAAUAUAGAAAAACAACUACAACCAAUAAUUAGGAAAACAAAAUCCAUGGUUAGAGGCGAAUGAACUGAAAGCCAAAAAGAAGAAGAAGAAGAAAAUCCAUGGUUCACGCAUGUUCAGUAUUUUUUAACAAAAGCUCAUUGGCUUUAAUUUGAUAUGUCGAUCAUCUAAAUCGGUUCAGUGAUUCAAAAGUUAUUUUUGAAAAAAAGUCAUUUUUGGGAAAAAGUUGAAAAAAAAAUAUUUUUCGCAUAGCCCUAUAACGAAAAAAUAACAAAGUACGUAUCUAAUAUGCAAUAAUAUUAAUAUUGCAAUAAAGAACAAAACUACCACUUUUGACGUAGGACUACGUCUUUCAUUUCUAUACCGGGGUGUAAAAUCAAAGUUUCGAAAACGAAAGCGUUACGCCGGAGACCGAGAUUUUGAGCGUCAAUAGCUCUUAAACAACUGACCGAAAUGGUAUGAUAAACACUUCAUUCGAAAGAUAAAAUGUGUACGCGGUAUAUACUUGUUACUUUUUCAUCCAAAAACUUGUUUCAAUUGCCUUAAAAUUGCUUUCAAAACAGGCUAUUGAAAUCACCAAUCGGUAUAUAAGCGAGCACCGCUCGGAAAUCCACUCAGUCCUGAUCCUUACCUGACCUGACCUGACCUGACCUGACCUGACCUGACCUGACCUGACCUGACCUGACCUGACCUGACCUGACCUGACCUGACCUGACCUGACCUGACCUGACCUGACCUGACCUGACCUGACCUGACCUGACCUGACCUGACCUGACCUGACCUGACCUGACCUGACCUGACCUGACCUGACCUGACCUGACCUGACCUGACCUGACCUGACCUGACCUGAUCUGACCUGACCUGACCUGACCUGACCUGACCUGACCUGACCUGACCUGACCUGACCUGACCUGACCUGACCUGACCUGACCUGACCUGACCUGACCUGACCUGACCUGACCUUAUGUUUUCUAACCAUAUAACACUGCGACCAAAUACAUUUGCUUUUGUGAUUUUUAAAUCAAGUGUCUUUCGGGAUGUUUACCCAACAAUUUCUCAAAAGAGAAAUGGGUGUUCUGAGAAAGGAUGAGCGAACGCAAAAAUAAUGUAGACUAAUUUGAUGCAGCAGAUAUUUUGUCUAUUGGAAAUGUAAUACAAAUCAUAUCACAAUACAAGCAAUGUAUUAUGCAUUAUACGUAACGCUCUCGUUUUCGAAGUCCCCCAAAUAUUCAUUUAUUCAUUCAUUCAGAAUUGAUUCAAAUGCAACUACAAACAAAUGAUCACUGAAUCAACGAUAGUCCUACGUCACCCUUGCGGUUAUACCACAGAUAUAACCUACUUCCUGUUUUUUUGUAUGGAAUGGCUGUAUAUAUAGAUAAUAUAUAUACCUGCUUAAAUGUAUCUUUAAUUUUUUUAUAGAAAUACUUCGCAGAUCUGUUUGCAUUGGCUGCUGAGGAUGAAACGAUAGGUACAAUAGGACGAAGAAGUACUAGUAGUCGAGGCAGGAAGGUUGUGGCAAAUAAAAAAGACCCAUCUCCGUUUAACAAUAAUGCAAAGAAGACUCAAGACACUUACGCUAGCGAUGACUCUACAGAUGAUGACUGGUCGAAACACAAAACUGGGAAACGACGUAAGAAGGCCUUUAGUGACUCAGACUGAUUGCAUUCUACUUUAUAUUUUCAAUGAUAAUCUGUGUAACAAUAUAAAAACAAAAAUACUGGUUAACCAGAGUUAACGGUCUCUUUCGUGAGCGAUAUUUUUAGAGUCUCCCUCAGUGUGUAACAAUUAUUUUGUUUUUUUUUUUAAAUUUUUAUCACGAAAAAAUCGCAUUCAUUUAUAUUUUAUGUUAUUCAUUCGGAAUAAACGAGCUUGAGCUUGAGCUUGGGUAGACUGUA